rnacentral:lncRNA from 1 species
UUCUUCACUGGAGAGAGAAUCCAAAUCUCUUAAAGAGAUCUUUUAUACGUUAGGGAGUUUCAUUUCUGUUAAGGAUUAAGAAAUACAAAUCUUAUUAAUGGGAGGGAAUAGAAGAAGCCUAUCUGAUGCUAACGAAAAAGAGAAAGAACCUGAAGCCAACGUUGAAGGCCAUCUGUAGCUAACGAUUUUUAAUAAUUCAAACUGAGGUUUUGUAGUAUCGUAAGCAACGUGAGAUUUUGUAAUUUUAAGGGAGUACGGUGUAAACCUCAUACGAAUUUUUUCCUACUUCAGGUAUGUUAAAGCUAUCCCUUCUUUCUUUUGGCAUGGUCCAAAUUAUACUGAAGAAACAAGCAAAUAUAUAGUUUUCUAUAAAGUACUCUAUUCAUAGGAAUAGUAGGGGUGUCUAUAUUCUUGAUUCCCCAUGAGAAUUAUUAUUAUGUUCUGUUCAUGGGUCUCAGAAUAAUACGCAGUUGGAAAAGUUUAUGCGGAAGAAAUACCGAGAUUAUUCUGUAUUUGUCAUGCAUUUCACUCAUUUAUACAUGUGCAUUGACCCAUGACCAGAUGACAUUAUAUACGUGUAUAUAUGUAAAUUUAUGUAUAAGGGAUAUGGGAAAAGGUUACAACGUUAUAUAUGCACCACCACCUGAUCAGUUGGUAUACGAUGAUGAUGUUGCCCAUAGUGGCUGAAAUAUGAUUCAAACAGCGUUAUAUGCGUAUAUAUGUAAAUAUGAUUCAAACGGCGUUAUAUACGCGUAUAUAUGUAUGUAUAUAUAUGUAUAUGGGAUAUGGGAAAGGAUACAGCGUUAUAUACGCACCACCACCUGAUCAACUAGUAUACGAUGAUGAUUUUGUCCACAAUGGCCGAUAUGAUAUGAUGGGAUGCCCUCAGAGGCUGAUGAUGUUAUGAAACAUGUACCUAUGCACGACAUGACAUUCAUACGCAUGACGCUAGAAGUAAUUUAUGAUUUACAAAGUUAUUCAGACUUACAUGUUGAGUCAUGUGCUCUAUAUGUCUUCCAUGUUUCUUAUAUAUUUAUUUAUGUGCCUUACAUACUCGGUACAUUAUUCGUACUGAUGUCCCUUUUGCCUGGGGAUGCUGCGUUUUCAUGCCUGCAGGUCCCAAUAGACAGGUCGAGAGCCCUCCAAGUAGGCUAUCAGCUCAGUGGAAGAUGUUGGUGCGCUCCAUUUGCUUCGGAGUUGCUCGUUUGGUUAGUAUGAUUUAGACAUGUAUUGUUUGAUAUUGCGGGACUCUGUCUCGACCUUUAUGAUAUUU